AUGCUCCGCCUCCGAGAGUGCGUCGUUUCCCGUCUCCUCUCUUGGCCCUCCACCUCUCCCAUCUGCUCUCUUCGCCGCCUGCUCUCCACCACCGCAUCCGCAGCCCCCAUUUCUCCGAACCCUAGUAGCUUCGCCGUCGAGGAGUACCUCGUCGCCACCUGCGGCCUCACCCAGCCCCAAGCCGUCAAAGCCUCCAAGAAGCUCUCCCACCUUAAGUCACCCGCCAAGCCCAACGCCGUCCUCGCCUUGCUCGCCGGCCUCGGCCUCUCCGGCGCCGACGCCGCCGCCGUCGUCGCCAAAGACCCGCGGCUCCUCUGCGCCAAAGUGGACAAAACCCUGGCCCCCGUCAUCGCCGGGCUCACCGGCCUCGGCCUGUCUAGUCCUGAGAUUGGCCAACUGGUCUCGCUUGCCCGCACCCGCUUUCGCUGCAGACCCGUCGUCCCCAGGCUGCAGUACUACCUGCCCCUCUUCGGCUCAUUCGACAACUUCCUCCGGCUGCUCAAGCGCGAAUCCAACCUUCUCUCGAUCGACCUUGACAAGGUGGUCAAGCCCAAUGUCGUGUUCCUGAGGGAGUGCGGGCUAGGUGAUUGUGAUAUUGCCAAGCUGAGUAUCCGUGUGCCUAGGAUGCUCAUCACCAACCUGGAGCGCGUCCGGGCGAUGGUGGCACGUGCCGAAACAUUAGGCGUGCCCCGUCGCUCCGGGAUGCUCAAGGAAGCGUUGCAGGCUGUCGCGUUUCUCAGCGAGGAGAAGAUUGCCGCCAAACUGGACUACUUGAAGAAUACGUUCAGGUGGUCUGAUGCCGAAGCUUGCAUUGCUGUGCGCAAGUAUCCGUGUGUGUUGAAGAAGUCAAAGGAAUCUCUGAAGCGCAAGUCUGAGUUCCUGGUCUCUGAGGUGGGGCUGGAACCCGUGUCCAUUGCUCAUCGACCGGUAGUUCUCAGUCUUAGCCUGGAGGGCCGGCUCAGACCCCGGUACUAUGUUAUAAAGUUUCUCAAGGAAAAUGGACUGCUAGAUCGUGACCCGAGCUUAUAUUCUGCGGUCAACAUGACUGAGAAGGUAUUUAUGAAGAAACUCAUAUCCCCUCACAAGGAAGCUGCACCACACCUCGCUGAAGACUAUGCAACAGCUUGCAAAGGGGAAGUGCCAACUAAUUUCAGAUUCAUGUGA
rnacentral:rRNA from 1 species